CCCUUAGAUGUUCUGGGCUGCACGCGCGCUACACUGAUGCGUUCAACGAGUCCAACCUUGACCGAGAGGUCCGGGUAAUCUUUGAAACUGCAUCGUGAUGGGGCUAGAUUAUUGCAAUUAUUAAUCUUCAACGAGGAAUGCCUAGUAAGCGUGAUUCAUCAAAUCGCGUUGAUUACGUCCCUGCCCUUUGUACACACCGCCCGUCGCUCCUACCGAUUGAGUGUGUUGGUGAGGAGUUUGGAUUGGCCUCGGAAGGUGGUUCGCCACCGUCCGUAGCUGAGAAGUUCUCCAAACCGCCCCACUUAGAGGAAGGAGAAGUCGUAACA
rnacentral:rRNA from 1 species